CUCUCAGUCAUCCUCUCCCGCCGUGGUGCUGAGCCUGCGACGUUGCUUAGAGAGAAAGAGGGGGGAGAGAGAGAGAGAAAGAGAGAGAGAGAGAAAUAUCAUCCUUUCUGCUCCAGCCACUGAACGCACCAUCUGACGGGGAAAUAAGUGAAGGCUGAGAUGUCGCUCAUGUGAGCCACACGGCACAACCACAGAGGGGCCGUAGAAAGUCCAGGAGCAGCGAAGCAACUCGCAAAAACUUUAAAGCGCAAGCAAACGUGCCAAACGUUGGAAAAUCUGCCUCCAUGGGCUUCCCCAGAAAGGAUACACGCAAAUAAAUCCAGGGAGUGCCGUGAAAACGUCACCGAGGAGCGGGAGGAGACGCAGAAAAUAUAAAACGGAUCACUCCGAGGUCCCACGCCACUGCGUUACACAGACGUCAAGUCUUCAGUGAGAGCAUGAGGACAAGUUGCUUCCCUUCAAAUUGUAGCUCAAGAAAUUAUGACAUAACAAGGAUCUGCUGCUCAUCACCAUAAUGCUGAGACAGGCAUUCUAAAUCCCUCACUCCUUCUUCAGCACCCAGCCCAGACCCGUUUCUUUUUUGUUUUUUGGAAGUUUUUCCUGGUUUUCCUUAUCCUAUAAUCAAAUCCUUCUUCGUCUUUGCCCUGAUUAUAACCUUUGCACUCUACCUUUUUUUUCUUUUCAUUGACAUCAUGCUGCGUGCUUCCACUCUUUCAGUUCUCCUCCCUCUUACACUUUUUUCGCUCCUCUUCUUUUCCUGGUUUCCCAACAUGGCCAACGGGGACUGCUGGCUCAUUGAAGGAGACAAAGGCUACGUUUGGCUAGCUAUAUGCAGUCAGAACCAGCCUCCCUAUGAGACUAUCCCCCAGCACAUCAACAACACAGUCCAUGACUUGAGGCUGAACGAAAACAAGCUGAAAGCCGUGCUUUUCAGUUCCAUGUACCGCUUCACGAACUUGACCGACCUCAACUUAACCAAGAAUGAAAUCAGCUAUAUUGAGGACGGCGCUUUUGCAGGACAAGCCAAUUU